UACGUAGGGUGCGAGCGUUAAUCGGAAUUACUGGGCGUAAAGCGUGCGCAGGCGGUUUUGUAAGCCAGAUGUGAAAUCCCCGGGCUCAACCUGGGAAUUGCAUUCGAUACUGGAUAGCUAGAGUUCGGCAGAGGGAAGCGGAAUUUCUGGUGUAGCGGUGAAAUGCGUAGAUAUCAGAAGGAACAUCAGUGGCGAAAGCGGCUUCCUGGACCAGAACUGACGACCAGGCACGAAAGCGUGGGGAGCAAACAGG
rnacentral:rRNA from 1 species